GAAAUGCGAUACCUAGUGUGAAUUGCAGAAUUCCGUGAAUCAUCGAGUUUUUGAACGCAAGUUGCGCCCGAGGCUCGUCUGAGGGCAUGCCUGCCUGAGCGUCCAU
rnacentral:rRNA from 1 species